rnacentral:rRNA from 1 species
GACGAACGCUGGCGGCGUGCCUAAUACAUGCAAGUCGAACGAACUCUGGUAAUGAUUGGUGCUUGCAUCAUGAAUUACAUUUGAGUGAGUGGCGAACUGGUGAGUAACACGUGGGAAACCUGCCCAGAAGCGGGGGAUAACACCUGGAAACAGAUGCUAAUACCGCAUAACAACUUGGACCGCAUGGUCCGAGUUUGAAAGAUGGCUUCGGCUAUCACUUUUGGAUGGUCCCGAGGCGUAUUAGCUAGAUGGUGAGGUAACGGCUCACCAUGGCAAUGAUACGUAGCCGACCUGGGAGGGUAAUCGGCCACAUUGGGACUGAGACACGGCCCAAACUCCUACGGGAGGCAGCAGUAGGGAAUCUUCCACAAUGGACGAAAGUCUGAUGGAGCAACGCCGCGUGAGUGAAGAAGGGUUUCGGCUCGUAAAACUCUGUUGUUAAAGAAGAACAUAUCUGAGAGUAACUGUUCAGGUAUUGACGGUAUUUAACCAGAAAGCCACGGCUAACUACGUGCCAGCAGCCGCCGUAA